rnacentral:rRNA from 1 species
UUAAGCGACUAAGCGUACACGGUGGAUGCCCUGGCAGUCAGAGGCGAUGAAGGACGUGCUAAUCUGCGAUAAGCGUCGGUAAGGUGAUAUGAACCGUUAUAACCGGCGAUUUCCGAAUGGGGAAACCCAGUGUGAUUCGUCACACUAUCAUUAACUGAAUCCAUAGGUUAAUGAGGCGAACCGGGGGAACUGAAACAUCUAAGUACCCCGAGGAAAAGAAAUCAACCGAGAUUCCCCCAGUAGCGGCGAGCGAACGGGGAGCAGCCCAGAGCCUGAAUCAGUGUGUGUGUUAGUGGAAGCGUCUGGAAAGGCGCGCGAUACAGGGUGACAGCCCCGUACACAAAAAUNCCAUCCUCCAAGGCUAAAUACUCCUGACUGACCGAUAGUGAACCAGUACCGUGAGGGAAAGGCGAAAAGAACCCCGGCGAGGGGAGUGAAAAAGAACCUGAAACCGUGUACGUACAAGCAGUGGGAGCACGCUUAGGCGUGUGACUGCGUACCUUUUGUAUAAUGGGUCAGCGACUUAUAUUCUGUAGCAAGGUUAACCGAAUAGGGGAGCCGAAGGGAAACCGAGUCUUAACUGGGCGUUAAGUUGCAGGGUAUAGACCCGAAACCCGGUGAUCUAGCCAUGGGCAGGUUGAAGGUUGGGUAACACUAACUGGAGGACCGAACCGACUAAUGUUGAAAAAUUAGCGGAUGACUUGUGGCUGGGGGUGAAAGGCCAAUCAAACCGGGAGAUAGCUGGUUCUCCCCGAAAGCUAUUUAGGUAGCGCCUCGUGAAUUCAUCUCCGGGGGUAGAGCACUGUUUCGGCAAGGGGGUCAUCCCGACUUACCAACCCGAUGCAAACUGCGAAUACCGGAGAAUGUUAUCACGGGAGACACACGGCGGGUGCUAACGUCCGUCGUGAAGAGGGAAACAACCCAGACCGCCAGCUAAGGUCCCAAAGUCAUGGUUAAGUGGGAAACGAUGUGGGAAGGCCCAGACAGCCAGGAUGUUGGCUUAGAAGCAGCCAUCAUUUAAAGAAAGCGUAAUAGCUCACUGGUCGAGUCGGCCUGCGCGGAAGAUGUAACGGGGCUAAACCAUGCACCGAAGCUGCGGCAGCGACGCUUAUGCGUUGUUGGGUAGGGGAGCGUUCUGUAAGCCUGCGAAGGUGUGCUGUGAGGCAUGCUGGAGGUAUCAGAAGUGCGAAUGCUGACAUAAGUAACGAUAAAGCGGGUGAAAAGCCCGCUCGCCGGAAGACCAAGGGUUCCUGUCCAACGUUAAUCGGGGCAGGGUGAGUCGACCCCUAAGGCGAGGCCGAAAGGCGUAGUCGAUGGGAAACAGGUUAAUAUUCCUGUACUUGGUGUUACUGCGAAGGGGGGACGGAGAAGGCUAUGUUGGCCGGGCGACGGUUGUCCCGGUUUAAGCGUGUAGGCUGGUUUUCCAGGCAAAUCCGGAAAAUCAAGGCUGAGGCGUGAUGACGAGGCACUACGGUGCUGAAGCAACAAAUGCCCUGCUUCCAGGAAAAGCCUCUAAGCAUCAGGUAACAUCAAAUCGUACCCCAAACCGACACAGGUGGUCAGGUAGAGAAUACCAAGGCGCUUGAGAGAACUCGGGUGAAGGAACUAGGCAAAAUGGUGCCGUAACUUCGGGAGAAGGCACGCUGAUAUGUAGGUGAAGUCCCUUGCGGAUGGAGCUGAAAUCAGUCGAAGAUACCAGCUGGCUGCAACUGUUUAUUAAAAACACAGCACUGUGCAAACACGAAAGUGGACGUAUACGGUGUGACGCCUGCCCGGUGCCGGAAGGUUAAUUGAUGGGGUCAGCGCAAGCGAAGCUCUUGAUCGAAGCCCCGGUAAACGGCGGCCGUAACUAUAACGGUCCUAAGGUAGCGAAAUUCCUUGUCGGGUAAGUUCCGACCUGCACGAAUGGCGUAAUGAUGGCCAGGCUGUCUCCACCCGAGACUCAGUGAAAUUGAACUCGCUGUGAAGAUGCAGUGUACCCGCGGCAAGACGGAAAGACCCCGUGAACCUUUACUAUAGCUUGACACUGAACAUUGAGCCUUGAUGUGUAGGAUAGGUGGGAGGCUUUGAAGUGUGGACGCCAGUCUGCAUGGAGCCGGCCUUGAAAUACCACCCUUUAAUGUUUGAUGUUCUAACGUGGACCCGUGAUCCGGGUUGCGGACAGUGUCUGGUGGGUAGUUUGACUGGGGCGGUCUCCUCCUAAAGAGUAACGGAGGAGCACGAAGGUUGGCUAAUCCUGGUCGGACAUCAGGAGGUUAGUGCAAUGGCAUAAGCCAGCUUGACUGCGAGCGUGACGGCGCGAGCAGGUGCGAAAGCAGGUCAUAGUGAUCCGGUGGUUCUGAAUGGAAGGGCCAUCGCUCAACGGAUAAAAGGUACUCCGGGGAUAACAGGCUGAUACCGCCCAAGAGUUCAUAUCGACGGCGGUGUUUGGCACCUCGAUGUCGGCUCAUCACAUCCUGGGGCUGAAGUAGGUCCCAAGGGUAUGGCUGUUCGCCAUUUAAAGUGGUACGCGAGCUGGGUUUAGAACGUCGUGAGACAGUUCGGUCCCUAUCUGCCGUGGGCGCUGGAGAACUGAGGGGGGCUGCUCCUAGUACGAGAGGACCGGAGUGGACGCAUCACUGGUGUUCGGGUUGUCAUGCCAAUGGCACUGCCCGGUAGCUAAAUGCGGAAGAGAUAAGUGCUGAAAGCAUCUAAGCACGAAACUUGCCCCGAGAUGAGUUCUCCCUGACCCUUUAAGGGUCCUGAAGGAACGUUGAAGACGACGACGUUGAUAGGCCGGGUGUGUAAGCGCAGCGAUGCGUUGAGCUAACCGGUACUAAUGAACCGUGAGGCUUAACCUU